GCCAGGGUGGUGUAGUGGUUUGUGCAAUGGACUACAACUCUGGAGACCAAGCCAAGGUUCAAAUCCUGGCUCAGCCA